AUGUUCAUGUUCUUGUUCCUUUUAUUUAACCACAGCAUGAGGAUCCUCAGUUCUGUGCUUUGGAUAUUAGGCAUUCAAGCAAUAGCGUCCCAGGAACUACUGUACGUCCAAACAGCGGAAGGAGAGUCCGUGACCAUUUACUGUGAACCGGAGGAGAAGAAACCACAACUGAUUGGCUUUUACCUGGACCACUCGUCCACUCUGCCAAAGAGAGAGGUAGUCUUCCUGUCUGAGAACGGACGGGUAAAGGAGAGUCCAUCCUACGCUGGCCGCGUUCAGAUCAGUGGAAGCUUAGCAUCUUCCCAGAUAAAUGUGUCCGUCUCCCAGGUACGACGUACUGACACCGGCCUGUACACAAGCAGGUUUAUUUACAAAGACGACUCAACCAGCCAAGACAGCACUCGCCUCUUUCUUCAUGUUACAGUCUCAGAGGAAGAUUGCCAGUGCAGUCGUUACACAUCUCUGCUUUAUGCCAUCUCUGCAGCAGUAGCCCUGCUCUCCCUCCUGCUCAUUGGCUUCUGCCUGAUGCAACAUAGCAAACAGAGGCCAAAUUCAAAGCCGCCGCCACCUCCAAGUGACAUUUAUGAGGUGAUGUCCAUCGGGCAGCAGAGAAACUGUGUGACCCAGAAUAGCCAACAGAUGGCCACCCAGCAGGAGGACAUGAACAUAUACGCCACCCCUGACCAGACGCCCGUGCAGGAGAAUCACUACGCAAGUCCUCAGACUUCAAGGCCUGGCCCUCACACUCAGACUUCUGUUCUGUGACAGUUCUGAUUCCUUGAGGAUUCCUUCUUCAAGGACAAAUUCGAAGAGUUCAGGAAUUUCUGACACAAGGACGGUUUAAUCGUUAAUUAAUGUUACUGUGUCCAUCAAUACUAUGAAUUUAUGAGGAAAGGUGGUGACUAUGGAAUAUGUGGCCCACUGUGCCUGUCCAUUUCUAUUGCUGUGGGAGAUUGUGUGUAGCCUAUACUAAAAGCAAUGUAUGACAUCAUCUCCUUCAGUGUACUGUGUCCUGUAUAUGACUGUGGAGAAAAUGUUGUCAGUUUUUAGUAAAGCAUCUGCUUUUGUAUGAUCAUGGACUGCUGGUUAUGUGUAGACUUUUAUGCAAGACGCCUUAGUGAAAGAUACAAAAUGUGCAUGUUUAGCACCACAGGUUAACAAAGCUUCACUCAGUCCCCCCAGGAUUUCGCGGGCCUUUUUUGUGAUAGUUGCGGCCUAAAAUUACUGAUUUCGCAGGGGCUUUUCCAACAAGUUGCGGUGAAAGUUGCGGUGUUUUUUAGGUGUUUGUUGCGAUGAAAUUGCGGG
rnacentral:lncRNA from 1 species